GAUUUAGUCAUCAACGGUGGGCUGUGCACCAGUUUCUUUCUAAUUGCUGGACUUCCCCCCGCUUGGAAGCUAAGCUUGGCAGACGAACCGGUUCGGAACCCUCGGAGCUCUCAUUUAGUUGCCCAUUAUUAAACCCGUCGGUAUCCCAGAGUUACACAUCAAUGGACCCGCCGAUUCGUCCUCAAUUUGUUUAAUUUAUUAGCAAAUAGUGGUGUGGGGUACGGUUUUGUGAUAGCGUGUUAGGGCAGCGCAAUAUGUCGUUUUAAUCAUCAAAAUGGGCUGGGGAAAUUUUUUUUCUGUUGCCUUAUGAAAUAAAUUUAAAAAAUGCUUGGGACCAGCCAAGACC
ensembl:ncRNA lncRNA:CR45400 long non-coding RNA:CR45400